AACAAAUAGAACAGAGGAGCCCAACAUGCAGCGAAGUUAAACCAAUUGCCCGAAUCCUUCCGCUGGUCAGCGGUGGGGCCCAAAUUCCACCUCAGACCCUGCUCCUUUCCUUUCUUGAGUGAUUGUCGCUGCAGCCCCGAGGUAAGGGAGGUGGCCUCACUUUACAGGGAGAAAGCCGAGGCCCUGAGCAGGUGGAAGCUGGCUGUGAGUCAUGUGGCUGCGCGGGGCUCGGAUCCCAUGGCUCUUCUGUGACGACCUGCAGGGCCAGUUCCUUCACUCACCGAGAGUUCUUAAGGCCUCUCUGAGUCAGAGGACUCCUACUUAAUACCGGUUUCGGCCCGCUGACCUAUUAUUAUUUUUUUCCCCUCUGAGCAUCCGGAAAGGGCUGGCGUGGUGCAGCGGCAGAGACCUGGGCCUGCAAGAGGAAGAGAAUCGCCUGAGGACACAGGAGCGGGGACGGGAGCCAGGCUUUGAGUCAGUCCUCCCUCUCCUGGGCAAGCCAUGGAUCAUCCUGCCCAGCACUUCUCGUCCUUGACGGCUGAGUUCUGAAGGGAGGAAGGCAAGACCCGAAGAGACAGAUGGACACUCCCAGGAUGACACAGUUCACAGCAAGGCCAAGAUGCAAAUUAAUCUCCUAACUCUCAUUACAACAGCUUCUACUUUUGCCUCUUCUGGGUUCUUUCAUUCACUCAACAGACAUUUGCAGAGUUAGCUCAUAGUCUCUCUUAAGUUUUAGAUAUUUGAAGAUAAGCGUUAAAAGUCCCUAUGAUUGGGGAACCCACAGCUUAUGGGAGAGGCAAGUAUUAGAGGUGAUUUACUACAACUCGAGGGAUUUACUGCAACUCGAGGGAUUUACUACGCAAAGUGCUGGGCAUUCCAAGGAGGCAUGGAAGCUCUCUGAACACCAGGGCAGUAACUGCUCUGCCCAGGAGAGUGGGGUCCACUCUUGCACCUUGAAGGACCAGGGAUGAGGAAAGUGGUUCAGAUGAAUUUCUGAAUUAGUCUGACUAGGCUCUGAACCUGGCGCACAAUAAAUGUAGUAAAUAUUGAUGCAAUAAAUAAAGCCCUUGCAAGUCAACAGACAAAAC
rnacentral:lncRNA from 1 species